rnacentral:ncRNA from 1 species
GCAAAGUAGGAAUUGUUGCGUUGGAUAUUUCAUAUCCGCAGUGUAAAGAGGACGGGAAGUUGUCUCUUUAACGAAUAGGCGUUUGUCUUGCGAUAACAGUUUCGCAUUCCGUUG